AGAGUUUGAUCCUGGCUCAGGACGAACGCUGGCGGCGUGCCUAAUACAUGCAAGUCGAGCGAGCUUGCCUAGAUGAUUUUAGUGCUUGCACUAAAUGAAACUAGAUACAAGCGAGCGGCGGACGGGUGAGUAACACGUGGGUAACCUGCCCAAGAGACUGGGAUAACACCUGGAAACAGAUGCUAAUACCGGAUAACAACACUAGACGCAUGUCUAGAGUUUGAAAGAUGGUUCUGCUAUCACUCUUGGAUGGACCUGCGGUGCAUUAGCUAGUUGGUAAGGUAACGGCUUACCAAGGCAAUGAUGCAUAGCCGAGUUGAGAGACUGAUCGGCCACAUUGGGACUGAGACACGGCCCAAACUCCUACGGGAGGCAGCAGUAGGGAAUCUUCCACAAUGGACGAAAGUCUGAUGGAGCAACGCCUCGUGAGUGAAGAAGGGUUUCGGCUCGUAAAGCUCUGUUGGUAGUGAAGAAAGAUAGAGGUAGUAACUGGCCUUUAUUUGACGGUAAUUACUUAGAAAGUCACGGCUAACUACGUGCCAGCAGCCGCGGUAAUACGUAGGUGGCAAGCGUUGUCCGGAUUUAUUGGGCGUAAAGCGAGUGCAGGCGGUUCAAUAAGUCUGAUGUGAAAGCCUUCGGCUCAACCGGAGAAUUGCAUCAGAAACUGUUGAACUUGAGUGCAGAAGAGGAGAGUGGAACUCCAUGUGUAGCGGUGGAAUGCGUAGAUAUAUGGAAGAACACCAGUGGCGAGGGCGGCUCUCUGGUCUGCAACUGACGCUGAGGCUCGAAAGCAUGGGUAG
rnacentral:rRNA from 1 species